CACACACACACACACACACACAGCCACACAUAGUCUUACACACACAUACUUACAUGCAGACAGCCACACACACACAGUCCGAGGCCAUACACACACAGGAAGACAUAUACACACACACACACAGGAAGACAUCCACACAGAGGCAGACAGUCACACACACAGGCAGACAGUCAUAUAUACACACACACAGGCAGACAGUCAUACACACACACACAG